rnacentral:lncRNA from 1 species
AAAUGAGGCGUAACAGUGGUCCCCCAAAUCUGAGAAUGAAUAUUUAUAUUAUACGUGGAUUUGUUUUCCUGACCGGGUCGCGGCAUGGGGGUAGCUGGAACUGUGUAGAACAUGGAAAGACACAGAGCCGAGGCGAUGAGCCAAUGAUACGCUCGCGUCGGGCACGUUAAAGCGUUAUAAAAAUUUGGACUAGUCUUCACAGAAGCCAUAGAAAGAAAAGGAAAACACAUAAAACGAUACAAAGCAUGGGAUGGGGGUGCAUCGACCGAGGUGAUAGCAAACGGGGCGAUUGCAUCGGGUGCGCCCAAACUGUAAAGUUGGAGGACUCGUUCUCGCCGAAGCGUUGACGGACAAAAGGUCGACGCGUGGGGAGAUGGCUAGAACUUCGUAAAGCAAUGGAGGGAACGUAGCGCCCGAGGUGAUUAGCGACGCGAGCCUUCGCGUCGGUUACGGCCAAGCUUUGUA